rnacentral:rRNA from 1 species
UACAGAGGUUGCAAGCGUUAAUCGGAUUUACUGGGCGUAAAGCGUGUGUAGGUGGCUGUACAAGUCGGUUGUGAAAUCCCUGGGCUCAACCUGGGAACUGCUUCCGAGACUGUACGACUCGAGAUCGGUAGAGGGCGGUGGAAUUUCCGGUGUAGCGGUGAAAUGCGUAGAUAUCGGAAGGAACACCAAUGGCGAAGGCAGCCGCCUGGGCCAGCACUGACGCUCAUGCACGAAAGCGUGGGGAGCAAACAGG